rnacentral:rRNA from 1 species
UACGUAGGGUGCGAGCGUUGUCCGGAAUUAUUGGGCGUAAAGAGCUUGUAGGCGGUUUGACGCGUCUGCCGUGAAAAUUCGAGGCUCAACCUCGAACUUGCGGUGGGUACGGGCAGACUAGAGUGUGGUAGGGGAGACUGGAAUUCCUGGUGUAGCGGUGAAAUGCGCAGAUAUCAGGAGGAACACCGAUGGCGAAGGCAGGUCUCUGGGCCACUACUGACGCUGAGAAGCGAAAGCAUGGGGAGCGAACAGA